AGGGUUUGAUCAUGGCUCAGAAUGAACGUUGGCGGCGUGGAUUAGGCAUGCAAGUCGUGCGCGAACUGUAGCAAUACAGGGAGAGCGGCGAAAGGGAGAGUAAUACAUGGUUAGCUGCCCUCGGGUCUGGGAUAGCGGCGGGAAACUGCCGGUAAUACCAGAUGAUGUCUUCGGAUCAAAGGUGUGAUUCCGCCCGAGGAGGUGACCGUGUCCUAUCAGCUAGUUGGCGGGGUAAUGGCCCACCAAGGCAAAGACGGGUAUGGGGCGUUAGAGCGUGCCCCCACUCACUGGGACUGAGAUACUGCCCAGACACCUACGGGUGGCUGCAGUCGAGAAUCUUCGGCAAUGGGCGAAAGCCUGACCGAGCGACGCCGCGUGCGGGAUGAAGGCCUUCGGGUUGUAAACCGCUGUCGUAGGGGAGGAAGGUUCCGUGAAGAACGGAGCUUGACCGAUCCUAGGAGGAAGGGCCGGCUAAUCUCGUGCCAGCAGCCGCGGUAAUACGAGAGGCCCAAACGUUAUUCGGAAUCACUGGGCUUAAAGAGUUCGUAGGCGGCGCGGAAAGUGGGGUGUGAAAGCCCUCGGCUCAACCGAGGAAUUGCGCUCCAAACUGCCGUGCUUGAGGAGGCUAGAGGUAAGCGGAACUGAUGGUGGAGCGGUGAAAUGCGUUGAUAUCAUCAGGAACACCGGACGCGAAAGCGGCUUACUGGGGCCUUUCUGACGCUGAGGAACGAAAGCUAGGGGAGCAAACGGGAUUAGAUACCCCGGUAGUCCUAGCCGUAAAC
rnacentral:rRNA from 1 species